GGUUGUUUUACAACACGCCCCCAUCCGGAAUAAAAAAAGUCUAGUUUUUCCAUUAAUUCGGUUGUACGAAAAAUUGCAAAAUACGUAGAGGCAAAAGAGUGAGAGAAGCACAGUUGGACGCUUAAGUUUAACUUUCACUCGUUCGUGUUGUUUUUUAGGGAAUAAAGUAACGCGUCGUUUCAAAAAUGAUAGCCGCGAUAGCUUUGACGAAAGUUGAGUUUGUUACUUUCUUGAGAGAUGGUAGCGUGAUAAAACUUACAAGGGAACAAAGGGAGACAGCGAGCGAGUUGAACAAGCAAGACUAAAAGCGACCGAGAGAGAAGGAAGAGAGAAAGACACACACACACACACACGUGCGUGCAACGCAUAUUAUAUAUAUACAUAUAUAUGUAUGCAUAUAUAUAUAGACGUUCUAUCGAUCGAGAACUGGUCCCACCUCACGUAGCAUGAAAAAGCACAAAAGUUAUCGUUCGUCAAUAACAAAAGGAUAAGAAACUUGAAUGAUCAAUGAUGAAUGAAUGAAAUUUGAUGAUGGAAUCAGAAGUAAUCUCAGAGCCUCCAAGGGUUUCCAAUAUUCCAUUGGAAGUGCAGUCCAAUUUGUUACUGUACUUGAAAAUCUAAACCGUUGCAUCAUGUUAUUUUAUAUCGACAGUUCGGUUUAGUCUUCAACAUUUAUCACUCAAUUACUAGCAGUUUUAGAUACUCAGAACUGCAUUAAUCAUAUAGAGUCCAAGAAAACAAUAUAAAAUGUAGAUCACCAUGGAAGAGAAAUUUUAUUAAGAUAAUCGUUAGAUAGCAUUUGAAUUGCCUGAUAAAGCUGUUUUAUGUUCAAGUGACCUGAGAAAAGCACAAUAUAUAUAUAAAUACUUGAACUUAGAAAUAUUUUAGAAAUGAUGCCAAAG